rnacentral:rRNA from 1 species
GACGAACGCUGGCGGCGCGCUUAACACAUGCAAGUCGAACGGAAAGGCCCUGCUUUUGUGGGGUGCUCGAGUGGCGAACGGGUGAGUAACACGUGAGUAACCUGCCCUUGACUUUGGGAUAACUUCAGGAAACUGGGGCUAAUACCGGAUAGGAGCUCCUGCUGCAUGGUGGGGGUUGGAAAGUUUCGGCGGUUUGGGAUGGACUCGCGGCUUAUCAGCUUGUUGGUGGGGUAGUGGCUUACCAAGGCUUUGACGGGUAGCCGGCCUGAGAGGGUGACCGGCCACAUUGGGACUGAGAUACGGCCCAGACUCCUACGGGAGGCAGCAGUGGGGAAUAUUGCACAAUGGGCGGAAGCCUGAUGCAGCAACGCCGCGUGCGGGAUGACGGCCUUCGGGUUGUAAACCGCUUUCGCCUGUGACGAAGCGUGAGUGACGGUAAUGGGUAAAGAAGCACCGGCUAACUACGUG